UACCAGCACCCCGAGUGGUCGGGACGAUUAUUGGGCCUAAAGCAUCCGUAGCCGGUUUUACAAGUCCUCCGUUAAAUCCAGCUGCUUAACAGAUGGGCUGCGGAGGAUACUAUAAGACUAGGAGGCAGGAGAGGCAAGCGGUACUCAGUGGGUAGGGGUAAAAUCCUCUGAUCCAUUGAAGACCACCAGUGGCGAAGGCGGCUUGCCAGAACGCGCUCGACGGUGAGGGAUGAAAGCUGGGGGAGCAAACCGG
rnacentral:rRNA from 1 species